rnacentral:rRNA from 1 species
GACGAACGCUGGCGGCGCGCUUAACACAUGCAAGUCGAGCGAGAACCAGGGCUUCGGCCCUGGGGAAAGCGGCGAACGGGUGAGUAACACGUGAGUAAUCCACCCUCGGCACCGGGAUAGCCCGGGGAAACCCGGAUUAAUACCGGAUGGCCCGCCGGCCCUGCGGGGCUGGUGGAAAAGGUAGCUUCGGCCUCCGGCCGAGGACGAGCUCGCGGCGGAUUAGCUUGUUGGCGGGGUAACGGCCCACCAAGGCGACGAUCCGUAGCUGGUCUGAGGGGACGAUCAGCCACACUGGGACUGAGACACGGCCCAGACUCCUACGGGAGGCAGCAGUGGGGAAUCUUGCGCAAUGGGCGAAAGCCUGACGCAGCGACGCCGCGUGAGGGAAGAAGGCCUUCGGGUUGUAAACCUCUUUCAGUAGGGACGAAGCCACUCGGGUGAAUAGCCCAGAGGGUGACGGUACCUACAGAAGAAGCCCCGGCUAACUACGUGCCAGCAGCCGCCGUAAAAC